rnacentral:lncRNA from 1 species
CCGAGAGCAGAGCUGCUGUUUCGGCGCGGGUCGGCUGGCGGCCGACUGCCCCAGAGCCCCCACCCGGCACCACACAGACCCCACCCCCGCCCUGCGCCAGCCUUCGUCCCCGCAGAGGACCCCCCGACACCAGCAUGGACUGCUGCACCGAGAACGCCUGCUCCAAGCCGGACGACGACAUUCUAGACAUCCCGCUGGACGAUCCCGGCGCCAACGCGGCCGCCGCCAAAAUCCAGAACUGAGCAUUUUCAAAGUUCCCGAGGAGAGAUGGAUGCCGCGUCCCCUUCGCAGCGACGAGACUUCCCUGCCGUGUUUGUGACCCCCUCCUGCCCAGCAACCUGCCAGCUACAGGAGCCCCCUGCGUCCCAGAGACUCCCUCACCCAGGCAGGCUCCGUCGCGGAGUCGCUGAGUCCGUGCCCUUUUAGUUAGUUCUGCAGUCUAGUAUGGUCCCCAUUUGCCCUUCCACUCCACCCCACCCUAAACCAUGCGCUCCCAAUCUUCCUUCUUUUGCUUCUCGCCCACCUCUUCCCGCACCCAGCAUGCAGCUCUGCCUCCGCAGCCUCAGUGCGCUUUCCUGCGCGCACUGCGGAGGGCGCCCUAAGCGUCACCCAAGCACACUCACUUAAAGAAAAAACGAGUUCUUUCGUUCUGUGCGCAGCUAAAAGGGGCGCCCUACAUCUCCGUGCCACUCCCGCCCCAGCCUAGCCCCAAGACUUUGGAUCCGGGGCGAGAUGAAGGGAAGAGGGUUGUUUUGGUUUCGGACGACCCUUGCUCUGACCGGAAGAGAAGUCCCUAUCCCACACCUGCCUGUCACGUUCCCUCCCCUUUCCCCAGCGCACUGUUGAGGGCAGCCUCUCCAGCUCUCUUGUUUAUGCAAACGCCGAGCGCCUGGGAGGCUCGGUAGGAGGAGUCUUCCACGGCCCCGCCCCGCCCCUGUCGGUCCCGCCCUCCCCCCCGCCGGGCUCCUGGGGCUGUGGCCGAAAGGUUUCUGAUCUCCGUGUGUGCAUGUGACUGUGCUGGGUUGGAAUGUGAACAAUAAAGAGGAAUGUCC